GAUGAACGCUGGCGGCGUGCCUAAUACAUGCAAGUCGAGCAAAUGGAUUAAGAGCUUGCUCUUAUGAAGUUAGCGGCGGACGGGUGAGUAACACGUGGGUAACCUGCCCAUAAGACUGGGAUAACUCCGGGAAACCGGGGCUAAUACCGGAUAACAUUUUGAACCGCAUGGUUCGAAAUUGAAAGGCGGCUUCGGCUGUCACUUAUGGGUGGACCCGCGUCGCAUUAGCUAGUUGGUGAGGUAACGGCUCACCAAGGCAACGAUGCGUAGCCGGCGUGAGAGGGUGAUCGGCAGCAAUGGAACUGAGACACGGCCCAGACUCCUACGGGAGGCAGCAGUAGGGAAUCUUCCGCAAUGGACGAAAGUCUGACGGAGCAACGCCGCGUGAGUGAUGAAGGCUUUCGGGUCGUAAAACUCUGUUGUUAGGGAAGAACAAGUGCUAGUUGAAUAAGCUGGCACCUUGACGGUACCUAACCAGAAAGCCACGGCUAACUACGUGCCAGCCGCCGCCGUAA
rnacentral:rRNA from 1 species